rnacentral:lncRNA from 1 species
GAUAAAGAAACCUGUGAUUUCUUGACCAGAGGAACUGUUAGACAGGGAGGAUAAACAGACUGAGCAGUUAAUGUUGAAAAAGGAAAACAGUAGGGAUUGCCUGGGAGCUGUUAACUUCACAGCAGUGAGCUGGGCCCCAAAGAGAUGCUUGGUUUUACAAUGAAAGAAAAAAUGAGUUGUGCUUUUUUUUUUUUUUUUAAUUCUCUUGCAUUGUACAUUGUUGUGAGCAUUAUCAGAUUUUAGAGAUUAUUGAAAGACAUGGGACUCAAAUUGUAGUAUUGAGUCACAACUUUUUUUAUCCUCUGAGUUUUCACUGUAUAUACAUAAAAUUAAACUUUUAAACUGGGUAUGAAAUGUAAAAAAAAAGAUAAAAUAGCUUAAGCAUAUUUUCAGGUUUCAAACAAAAUAUAACAGUCUUUAGAGAAGAAAAAGCCCAAUAUUUGACAUUAAGUGACUUUAGGGGCUAAAUAAUCACUUGUAGCUGUUUUCAGUGUGGACCUUGAAUGUGUGUUUAAUUUUUUGUGAACAGAUUGAUGACGCUUCUGCAUCUAUUUCUCUGGCCCAGCUUACAAAGGUAUAUAUAUAUAUAUUCUUGAAAAUAUAAGUCUUUUUAUAACAUUUUAAAGAUGUGAAGCAGUAUUUUUAAGAUGGGUGGGGAGGAUGUAUCUUGUGAGUGCGCUGUAUGUACUGUUUGGCCGUGCUGGCCUGAGAAGAUAGGGGUACCUUGGUCAGCCCCCGCAUAAUGCUCACCUUCAAGACUGAAGAAACACAAGAAGCGACACUUAACCAUUGUUUCCCCUUUACACCAUUUUGUUUAAUUAGACACUGGAAACUAACAUAAUUCUGGAGGAGUCCCCUAGUUUUGGCUGUGAAUUAUGUGGACUUCUUUUUAAAUAGCCAAAACAGAAGAUUUCCUUUCCAUGGACAAUUGUGUGGUUAAUUCUUGAAAUUUUUAAUUGAUCCCACCAAGGUCAAUAUUUUAAAUGUGGUACAGUUGUUUCUUUAUGCUUUAGGCUUGUAGUCUGUCUGCAUUAGAAAAAUUUUAAACAACGUAAUUUGUUUGAACACAGACUACAUGAAUUGUGUUAAGUAUGUACUUAUGAUGCUGUUUGCAGGAAUAUGAGUGUGUAUGUUUGGAGAGGGCCAAAUUGUUCCCUCCUGAAAUCACUGUAUACAUCAUGUUGUUUGAUAAGGUUGCUUACAUUUAUGCUCGAUAAUGUGUAUCUUCUGUUUGGGAAAGCACUAGCGAUGGAUUCUUUUUUUUUUUUUUUUUUAAGACAGUGUAUUUUAGAUUGCAGGGUGUGUCUUUAGAAGACCAGAACAGGUAGAAUUGAGGGCUCAAAAGGAUUCCUGAAAAUCUUUUUCCCCCCUACUAUCAAGAAAUGAAAAGUAUGAUUUAACAGCCAACAUCAGAAGAGAAAAUGAAAAGUUAUCCUUUAGUGAUGUCCCUAUCUUUUAUCCUUGACUUGGUUGUGGGUUGUGUCCUUUUUUCUAGGAUGUAUCCUUAAAAGAUGUCCUGACAACAAAUUGCUACUUAAGCUCUAGUCCUAAGAAAACUAAAUACUAAAAUUAAUUAUCCUAAAUAGAGUGGAUGAACCAUGCUGUCAUUUUCUAGUGUAAGGUGGUUUAGCACAGAGGUCAUGUCUUUGGCAGCUUAUAGUUCCUGCUGUCUGUGUUUAUGUGUUCUGAGGGCUGGGUUUGAGGGUUGCUCUUUUCUGCUGCUGUUACUUGACUGGGAGGAGUUGGGAAGGUUUGGAGGUUUGGGUUUGUUUUGUUUUUUUUUUUCUUUUUUCUUUUUUUUGUUUUUGUUUUUAAUCUAUUUGUAAAAUAAUGUUUGGGUUCAAACAAAUUAGUUGUUGAACAUCUGUAAUCAGUUUUCUGUAAAUGUUACUGUUGUUCCAAGUUCUGUUAAUAUUAAGCAUUCUGUGUAUUUAAAAUUAAAAUAAAGUGUUAAAACUG